rnacentral:rRNA from 1 species
AUGUUUGGAGAAGCCACGGGCCUGAAGAUAAAUCGUCAGAAAUCAACUGCAACCCCGAUCCGUUGUGAAACAGUUGACAUUCAGCAGGUGUUGCAAAGUUUUGGGGGGCACCGUGGCCAAUUUCCCGAUGAAAUACCUGGGGUUGCCGCUCACCCUCACCAGAACCAGGAUCGUGCACCUCCAGUUCGUCCUCGACCGAAUUAG